AUCCACUUGUUUCCACUCUCUUGGUGUCUUGCCUUUCCCUAUUAGUGCUCCUGCAAUAACAACAAUCGCAAGUGGUAGUCCCUUGCAUUUUUUUGCUAUGCUCUUUCCAGAUAGUACCAAUUCAGGAGGACAUUUGUCCUUGUGAAAAACCUUCUUCUCCAGUAAUAUCCAACUUUCAUCUUCAGUCAGAAAUUUUAGAUCAUGAGGUAUGGGAUUGCAUUGUUUAGCCACUUUGGAAUCUCGAGUGGUCAACAAUACUCGAUUCGGUUUGUUGUUAUUUGGGAAUGCUAUCUUGAUACGUUCCCAAGCUUCAUCCGACCAUACGUCAUCCAACACAACCAAGUAUUUUCCUCCCUUUCCCAAGAAUUCUUGUAUUUCAUCAGCCAAAUCCUCCUCACACAUCCCAUGAUAUUGUUUUGUAUUUCGAGUGAAUUUGCUGAUGAUGUUGAGAAAUAAUUCUCUUCUCCUGUAUGAUUGAGACACAUAAACCCAAAUACGAGUAAAAAACUCAUACCCGAUUUUAGGAUGCUUGUAAAUCUUAUUUGCUAGGGUCGUUUUGCCGAGACCAGGCAUACCAACAACUGGAACAACUUCUAGAUGAUUCGAUUCUCCAAGAAGGCGGUUGAUUACAAUAUCUGCUUCUUCGUCAAAUCCAACCACGUCAUCUUCCUCUACCACUGGAGGCUUUCUUUCUUCGGAACCUCUAGCAGAUAAAUCAUCAUCUUG
rnacentral:misc_RNA from 1 species